UGGGGAAUUUUGGACAAUGGGGGCAACCCUGAUCCAGCAAUGCCGCGUGUGUGAAGAAGGCCUGAGGGUUGUAAAGCACUUUAGGUGGGGAGGAAGGUGUUAGUUUUAAUAGAGCUAAUGCUUGACGUUACCCACAGAAUAAGCACCGGCUAACUCUGUGCCAGCAGCCGCGGUAAUACAGAGGGUGCGAGCGUUAAUCGGAAUUAUUGGGCGUAAAGCGCAUGUAGGUGGUUGAGUAAGUUUGAUGUGAAAGCCCUGGGCUUAACCUGGGAAUUGCGUUGAAGACUGCUUGACUUGAGUCGGACAGAGGGCAGUGGAAUUUCCGGUGUAGCGGUGAAAUGCGUAGAGAUCGGAAAGAACACCAGUGGCGAAGGCGGCUGCCUGGGUCCAGACUGACACUGAGGUGCGAAAGCAUGGGGAGCAAACAGGAUUAGAUACCCCCGUAGUCC
rnacentral:rRNA from 1 species